UUACGGCCGUAUCACGUUGAAACACCGGUUCUCGUACGAUCACCGACAUUAAGCAACGUCAGUACUUAGAUGGAUAACCGCCUGGGAAUACCUGGUG